UACGUAGGGUGCAAGCGUUUAAUCGGAAUUACUGGGCGUAAAGCGUGCGCAGGCGGUUUUGUAAGUCUGACGUGAAAUCCCCGGGCUUAACCUGGGAAUUGCGUUGGAGACUGCAAGGCUGGAGUCUGGCAGAGGGGGGGUAGAAUUCCACGUGUAGCAGUGAAAUGCGUAGAGAUGCGGAGGAACACCGAUGGCGAAGGCAGCCCCCCUGGGCUAACACUGACGCUCCAGGCA
rnacentral:rRNA from 1 species